AGUGAGCGCUGGCGGUAGGCCUAACACAUGCAAGUCGAACGGCAGCACAGUAAGAGCUUGCUCUUACGGGUGGCGAGUGGCGGACGGGUGAGGAAUACAUCGGAAUCUACUUUUUCGUGGGGGAUAACGUAGGGAAACUUACGCUAAUACCGCAUACGACCUCCGGGUGAAAGCAGGGGAUCUUCGGACCUUGCGCGAUUGAAUGAGCCGAUGUCGGAUUAGCUAGUUGGCGGGGUAAAGGCCCACCAAGGCGACGAUCCGUAGCUGGUCUGAGAGGAUGAUCAGCCACACUGGAACUGAGACACGGUCCAGACGCCUACGGGAGGCAGCAGUGGGGAAUAUUGGACAAUGGGCGCAAGCCUGAUCCAGCCAUACCGCGUGGGUGAAGAAGGCCUUCGGGUUUUAAAGCCCUUUUGUUGGGAAAGAAAAGCAGCAGGUUAAUACCCCGCUGUUCUGACGGUACCCAAAGAAUAAGCACCGGCUAACUUCGUG
rnacentral:rRNA from 1 species